CGAAGGGGCUAGCGUUGCUCGGAAUCACUGGGCGUAAAGCGCACGUAGGCGGACUCUUAAGUCGGGGUGAAAGCCCAGGGCUCAACCCUGGAACUGCCUUCGAUACUGGGAGUCUUGAGUAUGGUAGAGGUUGGUGGAACUGCGAGUGUAGAGGUGAAAUUCGUAGAUAUUCGCAAGAACACCAGUGGCGAAGGCGGCCAACUGGACCAUUACUGACGCUGAGGUGCGAAAGCGUGGGGAGCAAACAGGAUU
rnacentral:rRNA from 1 species